AAAUAUCCUCUAACACUUCCUCCUCUAGCAGUUCUAGAUGUUCGUCAGCUCCAGCCCCCCAAAAUCUUAGUACUGUAGAUGAACCCAUACUUAGGUUCGAACCUCGUCUGAUCUUUGUACCAUACACCAUUCCCAGCUCUUUGACCUCGGACGAACUCUCGCUGAUUAGGAUUCAGUACGGGGUUCCUCCAGAGUAAGAGCUUGAGCUUCCCGGGCC
rnacentral:lncRNA from 1 species